UACGUAGGGGGCAAGCGUUGUCCGGAUUUAUUGGGCGUAAAGAGCGUGUAGGCGGCCUGGAAGGUCAGCUGUGAAAACUCGAGGCUCAACCUCGAGACGUCGGUUGAAACCACCUGGCUAGAGUCCGGAAGAGGAGAAUGGAAUUCCCGGUGUAGCGGUGAAAUGCGCAGAUAUCGGGAAGAACACCCGUGGCGAAGGCGGUUCUCUGGGACGGUACUGACGCUGAGACGCGAAAGCGUGGUGAGCGAACAGG
rnacentral:rRNA from 1 species